AUUGAACGCUGGCGGCAGGCUUAACACAUGCAAGUCGAGCGGGGGAGGUUGCUUCGGUAACUGACCUAGCGGCGGACGGGUGAGUAAUGCUUAGGAAUCUGCCUAUUAGUGGGGGACAACAUCUCGAAAGGGAUGCUAAUACCGCAUACGUCCUACGGGAGAAAGCAGGGGACCUUCGGGCCUUGCGCUAAUAGAUGAGCCUAAGUUGGAUUAGCUAGUUGGUGGGGUAAAGGCCUACCAAGGCGACGAUCUGUAGCGGGUCUGAGAGGAUGAGCCGCCACACUGGGACUGAGACACGGCCCAGACUCCUACGGGAGGCAGCAGUAGGGAAUAUUGGACAAUGGGGGGAACCCUGAUCCAGCCAUGCCGCGUGUGUGAAGAAGGCCUUUUGGUUGUAAAGCACUUUAAGCGAGGAGGAGGCUACUGGUAUUAAUACUACCGGAUAGUGGACGUUACUCGCAGAAUAAGCACCGGCUAACUCUGUGCCAGCAGCCGCCGUAAGAC
rnacentral:rRNA from 1 species